CUACGGGAGGCUGCAGUGAGGAAUUUUGCGCAAUGGGCGAAAGCCUGACGCAGCAACGCCGCGUGAGUGAUGAAGGCCUUCGGGUCGUAAAGCUCUGUCAAGUGGGAAGAACCUAUGUAAUGUUAAUAUCAUUAUAUACUGACGGUACCACUGAAGGAAGCACCGGCUAACUCCGUGCCAGCAGCCGCGGUAAUACGGGGGGUGCAAGCGUUAUUCGGAAUCAUUGGGCGUAAAGGGCACGUAGGCGGCCUGGUAAGUCAGAUGUGAAAGCCCGGGGCUUAACCCCGGAAGUGCAUUUGAUACUGUCAGGCUUGAGUAUGGGAGAGGGAAGUGGAGUUCCUGGUGUAGAGGUGAAAUUCGUAGAUAUCAGGAGGAACACCGGUGGCGAAGGCGACUUCCUGGACCAAUACUGACGCUGAGGUGCGAAGGCGUGGGUAGCAAACAGGAUUAGAUACCCUUGUAGUC
rnacentral:rRNA from 1 species